UUUGACCUCGGAUCAGGUAGGGUUACCCGCU
rnacentral:rRNA from 1 species